CUAGGAACCCCCAAAUUUCCCUGAAUUUUUUUGGUUGUCACUGUUAGAAAAAAAAAAGGCUUCUGAUAAUGGGUAUUUCAUGUAUAAUCUCUUCAUCAAUUCGACAUCCGCUUUUGGAAAAUCUUAACAACGUUAUCUCAGUUUUUGCAGUUUGGUUUCGCAGCUCUAGAUUCGAGAUAGAUGAUGAAUUAAAAUCGAAGAAUAUGAUUGAAAUUCCAAACGUUUUAUUUUGGAAGAAGAAAACCCGGAUUGAAUUCUUGCACGACAAUCUUUACUUUAAGAGAUAUUCUCAGGUUAAAAAUAAAAGAGGUGGAUUCUUUGAGAUACAAGCAGUUAUACCUUUAGUAAUUAUGGUGGAUCGUUUGGUUCUGCUACAUAUAAGAUCACCGAUAUGCUGGAUAAAAGUGUAAAUGUAGUCUCAAAAGCAGAGUUGUGGGCAUCUUGCAUCAACCAGCUUUGGAUGGCAGUGGAGCCUCCCGUAUUACACUCUGUUGAAGUUAUAGGCUAAUUGUGCAAGCUCGACAUUGAGAAACAAAACAUAUGGAGAAUAAAAUUGGUAAGAUAUUCUUUUCAUACAGUGUAUACGUUAUGACUUUCAAUUUCUCCCAUUUGGUUUCGAUUGAACCUGUGUAUAGUUAGUCUGCGAGAUUUUACUCAGAAUUUUCGGUGUUACUCCUUGGCCCUAUUUACGUAUGUGGUCUUUUGAUAUGGCUCAAUUGUUUAUCUUUUGUAGCUUGAAAUUAUUGUAUAUAAUUGAUAUUUGCG